AGUGAACGCUGGCGGUAGGCCUAACACAUGCAAGUCGAACGGCAGCACAAGAGAGCUUGCUCUCUGGGUGGCGAGUGGCGGACGGGUGAGGAAUACAUCGGAAUCUACUCUGUCGUGGGGGAUAACGUAGGGAAACGUACGCUAAUACCGCAUACGACCUACGGGUGAAAGCAGGGGACCUUCGGGCCUUGCGCGAUUGAAUGAGCCGAUGUCGGAUUAGCUAGUUGGCGGGGUAAAGGCCCAACAAGGCGACGAUCCGUAGCUGGUCUGAGAGGAUGAUCAGCCACACUGGAACUGAGACACGGUCCAGACUCCUACGGGAGGCAGCAGUGGGGAAUAUUGGACAAUGGGCGCAAGCCUGAUCCAGCCAUACCGCGUGGGUGAAGGAGGCCUUCGGGUUGUAAAGCCCUUUUGUUGGGAAAGAAAUCCAGCUGGCUAAUACCCGGUUGGGAUGACGGUACCCAAAGAAUAAGCACCGGCUAACUUCGUGCCAGCCGCCGCUUAA
rnacentral:rRNA from 1 species